UGGCGGACGGGUGAGUAACGCGUGAGGCAACCUGCCCUUCGGAAACGGGAUAGUGUCUGGAAACGGACAGUAAUACCGUAUAACGUAUUUUUACCGCAUGAUAGAAAUACCAAAACUGAGGUAGCCGGAGGAUGGGCUCGCGUCUGAUUAGAUAGUUGGUGGGGUAACGGCCUACCAAGUCGACGAUCAGUAGCCGGACUGAGAGGUUGAACGGCCACAUUGGGACUGAGACACGGCCCAGACUCCUACGGGAGGCAGCAUG
rnacentral:rRNA from 1 species